rnacentral:lncRNA from 1 species
CCAUUGAGUGCAAUUUUUUUUUCCUUUUUUUUCCCCUAUUUUGGCCAAAGAGCAAUUCACACAAAAUUGAAUUAGCAAAAAGUAUUAUGUCUUGGCUGCAGGUCUCACCAGCCCCAAUCCCGAACCACUACCCAAAUGCUUGAAGUCUCUUGCUUCCAGUCGAUCACCAUGGGCAGCAAACCCUGUCCCUCCUUUUUCCACAUUCACCAGGUUUCUCUCUUUACAUGGCUUAUUGCACACCAAACAAACCUUAUCAACGGCCAUAAACUUGUCAGCACAUUUCUUGCAGAAGACAUGCCCACAAGAGCU